UUUUGACUAUAAUCAGGCCAUUUUUUCUCCGGUUUCUCUUUCACUCUCUCCAUCUCAUCUCUUUCACUCACUCUCUCCUCUCACUAUGGACAAGGCAGCGGCGCUAAGCAAGCACGAUGCUGUAAUUCAUCCCCACUCCCCUGCCGCUGUAGUUCCGCUGCUGCAGUAGGAACGACGACUGCAGGUGAAGAUCCCCUUCCAUAAUUCCAUCCGCUAUUGCUUCCAGCGAUUAUAAAGUAGAUCCCCUUCCAUGACCAUCAGUCCUAUAAUAAGUGUACUUAAUGCUUUUGAAGGUUUAAAGGCAUAACAAGUUUCACCAGGUUAUGGAUUUUGUGGGACGAUAAAAACAACUGAGAUAUUAAGGGUUAAGAUGAUAUUUAUUCAAGCUCAAAGCCUUAGUGGUGGAGGGUUAAGAUGACAUUUACUUUAGCUUAAAGCAGUCAUGGUGGAGGUAAGGGCAAAGGAAAUGUCGACCAACCAUGAGUACGAAAAGUGUGGAGCGAUGGGUACAUGUUCGGCCUACCUGGCUAUUACGGCCAGGGUUAUUUUGGGAAAUGUACUAUAAUGGUUUGUUUUGUCGCUUAGGUCGACCGUAUUUAUAUUUUGAGUUGUAAUACAUUUUAUAAACAAUAUUUUGGGAUCCCAAAUGUACAACUUUUUAUGAUUUCAAUGAAUGUCUAAAUCUUUAUAAUAAUGUCAUUAAAUGAGUUUAAUUUCAAUUUACGAACACUUUUAACCUAAAACCUCGAUUAGCGAGCUAAUGGAACAUUUAUAACUCACAUGGUAACAACUCUAAGGUAGUAGGGCAUUACAACUUGGUAUUAGAGUGUGCCAAGGUUUAUGGUUCCUGGAGAUCGACCGAACAUGUACGCUCACUGUCCGUGACAAGCUCGACUCAGUGUUGGUUGGUAUUUAAUGAACUAUAUGCUUAAUUGCUUGUUUAAGUUGCCUUGUUUGCCUGAAUGUAUAGAUAGAGCAUGAUGAAUGUGUUGCUAUAUGCAUGAUGCUAGGGCAUGACCCCCUUGAAUGUUAUAUGCUAUGUGUGAUAUGUGAUUUUGUUGAUUGUGGUUAAUUGAUGAGAUUGAAUGGUGGUUUUGGAUGUUGUUAUCAUGCCUGAUGUGCGACGUCAUUGAUUGCAGGCAUAUUGUAGUAAUGCCUUGGCGAUCAAUUAGACUCCGCGACAAUAGGGCCGAGGAUGACAACUAGGGUCAAGACCCUUCACCUACCCCACAGAAUUGGCAACAGUUGUUUGCCAAAAUGGAUGCUAGACUUUAUUGAACAUAAGAGGAGCUUCAAGAGUUAAGGCAACAUGCCCCUCCUUGGGGUAUUGGGUUGUAGGUUCCAUAGGCUGUGGCACCAGUGUUAGCCCAGCCUGCUAUGGAAAAUAGGUGGGAACCCUUGUACGAGAGAUUCAGGAAGCAGCAUCCUCCCACCUUUGAGGGUGGCCCAGAUCCAUUGCGGGCAGAGCAGUGGAUGAAUAUGAUUUCUUCCAUCCUGGAUUUCAUGAGGGUGGAAGGGAAUGAGAGAGUGGCCUGCGCCAGCUAUAUGUUGUGAGAAGGCGCCCGCAUUUGGUGGGAUGUUGUGUCCCAGAGGAGGGAUGUGACAAUUAUGAGUUGGGAAGAAUUCAGAAACAUCUUUAACAAGAAAUAUUACAAUGUUGCAGUCUGAGCUGCAAAGGUGGACGAGUUCGUUAAUUUGACUUAGAACUGGAUGACGGUUAUCGAGUAUGCUUUGAAGUUUGACCAGUUAGCGAAGUUCACGCUGGACUUGGUGCCUACUGAUAGGGCACGCAGGGAUCAGUUUGUGAGUGGAUUGAACGUCUUGAUAGUCCGUGACGUCAAGAUAACUUUGGAUUUGGGAGCUACCACCUAUGCGCAGGUAGUGAAGAGGACCCUUACUGCUGAGGGGGCCGAGGAUCAGAUAUGGAGAGAGGGCGCCGCUAGGUGCGAUGCUCAGAGGACGAUGCCUCCUUUUACUGGAUCUUGCCGGGGUAGUGGCCAAAGUGAGCAGAAGAGAAAGACCCCAGAUUCUUUUGUCCCUCCUAGCUCAGAUAGGAUAGCAUGGGGUGCUUUCAAUGUUCGUCAGGGCGGGGGAGACAACUAGAGGAGUUUCCCAGUGUGUCCUCGGUGCAGGCGACGACAUCAGGGAGAGUGCAGGAUCAGGGCUUGCUUUACUUGUGGGAGCAUUAGUCAUCUGAGGAAGGACUGCCCAUAAGCCAGGAAAGAAGAACCGAAGCAGAGCGAUAGCCUCACUCCUGCCAGAGUAUUUACCUUGACCUAGACUGAGGCUGAGGCUAGCCCCUCGGUCGUGACAGGUUAGAUUUCUACUGCCGGUUCUUCAUUUACUGUAUUAAUUGAUUCAGGGGCUACUCAUUCAUUUGUAUCUACUAGAGUGAUAGAUCGGUUGUGUAGACCUAGUGAUUUGUAUGCUAGGAGAUUCAGGACUUUGUUGCCGACUGGGGAACUGGUAGUCUCUAGGAGAUGGGUUAGAGCAUUGCCAGUAGAGAUAGACAGUAGAGAGUUUUCUGUGGACUUGAUUGAGCUAGCAAUGGAUGACUUUGAUAUGAUUCUAGGGAUGGAUUGGUUAUCAAAGUACGGGGCGACGAUUGACUACAAGCGCAAGAUGGUGAAUUUUGAACCAGAAGAGGAGGUACCCUUUGUAUUUGUGGGGACGGUGAGUGGAACACGAGUACCUAUGAUUUCAGCAUUGAAGGCUAGAGACCUAAUGCAUGAGGGUUGCAUAGGAUUCCUAGCGAACAUUGUUAAUACCUCUAGGGUUAUUUCAGUUGGACUGGAUGAGACCAGAUUAGUAUGUGAGUUUCCUGAUGUGUUCCCAGCAGACUUGCCAGGGUUGCCACCACACCGAGAGAUCGAGUUCGUGAUAGAAUUGGCGCCAGAGGCGGAGCCAAUAUCUAGGACCCCUUAUAGAAUGUCUCUGGUAGAGUUGAAGGAACUGAAGAUUCAAUUGCAGGAGUUACUGGAUUUAAGAUUUAUUAGACCGAGCUUUUCGCCAUGGGGUGCUCCAGUGUUGCUCGUCAAGAAGAAGGAUGGAUCCUUAAGGAUGUGCAUUGACUACAAGGAGUUGAAUAAAUUGACCAUUAAGAACAAGUACCCACUACCUAAGAUCGACGACUUGUUUGACCAGCUACAAGGGAGGACUGUAUUCUCUAAGAUUGACCUUCGGUCUAGCUACCACUAGUUAAGAAUUAGAAAGGAGGACAUACCAAAGACUGCAUUUCGCACGAGGUAUGGAAAUUAUGAAUUCAUGGUCAUGUCCUUUGGAUUAACCAAUGUCCCAGCAGCCUUUAUGGACUUGAUGAAUAGAGUCUUCGGGGAUUAUUUGGACAAGUUUGUGAUCGUAUUCAUCGAUGAUAUACUGGUGUACUCCCAGUCAGAGACAGAGAACGAGCAUCAUCUUUGCAUGGUACUACAGCGGUUGAGAGAGCAGAGAUUAUAUGCUAAGUUAAGCAAGUGUGAGUUUUGGCUACCUCAAGUAACAUUUAUGGGGCAUAUUGUCAGCAAAGACGGGAUUUUGGUGGACCCAAGCAAGAUUGAGGCAAUGAGGGAUUGGCCUAGGCUGAGCAGUGUACCAGAGGUUAGGAGUUUCUUGGGAUUAGCGGGGUACUAUCGGCAGUUCGUUGAGGGAUUCUCCAAAAUAGCCAUACUGUUGACUGAGCUGACAUGUAAGAAGACCAAGUACGUCUGGACAUACAGAUGUGAGAACAACUUCAAGGAGUUGAAGCAGCAACUGAUCACCGCUUUAGUAUUGAGUCUGCCGUCAGACAAUGAGAAGUUUGUAGUCUACUGCGAUGCUUCCAGGCAGGGUUUGGGGUGUGUAUUGAUGCAAGCUAUAAAGGUGAUAGCUUAUGCAUCGAGAUAGUUGGAGUAUGAGCAGAGGUAUCCCACUCAUGAUCUGGAAGUGGUAAUGGUGGUAUUUGUACUAAAGGUUUGGAGGCAUUAUUUGUAUGGCGAGAAGUACGAAAUAUACACCGACCAUAAGAGUCUAAAAUAUUUCUUUACUCAGAAGGAUAUGAAUAUGUGCCAGAGGCCUUAGCUGGAAUUGGUAAAGGAUUACGAUUGCGACAUUCUAUACCAUCCUGGGAAGGCCAAUGUGGUGGCCGACACACUGAGUCGGAAGGGCCCAGGACAACUAUUCAGUUCGAGGCAGAUAUUAGAUAGGUUAGCUGAGGAGAUGACCAGAGCAGGAAUUAAAUUGGUAGUUGGUCAGCUAGCCAAUAUCACUCUUUAGUCCACGCUCAUUGAGAGGAUCAAGGAGGCACUGGGGGAGGAUCCCUAGUUGAGGGAGCACAUAGAGGAUGCCUUAGCUAGAGCAACUAAGGACUUUUCUAUUUCAGAGGUGGGUUUACUGAGGUAUAAAGGUCGAAUUUGUAUUCUGAUGGAUUUCGGCAUCUGGCGAGAGAUUCUAGAUGAGUCUCAUACCACUCCAUAUUCCUUACUUUUGGGUACAACGAAGAUGUACCAAGAUUUGAGAACCUUGUAUUGGUGGUCGGGAAUGAAGAAGGAUGUGGUGGAUUAUGUGGCCAAGUGUUUGACUUGUCAGUAGGUAAAGGCUGAACAUCGGAGGCCAGCAGGGUUGCUGCAAGAUUCUAGAGUGGAAGUGGGAGGGUAUCACCAUGGACUUCGUGGUUGGAUUACCGAAGACUGUGGGAAAAUAUGAUUCAAUGUGGAUGAUUAUGGAUAGGUACACCAAAUCAUCCCACUUUUUGCCUGUUAGGAUAACUUAUACAGUGGAGCAGUAUGCCAAAUUGUAUGUGAAUGAAAUUGUGCGAUUACAGGGGGCUCCUAGGUUGAUAGUAUUCAACAGGGACCCCACCUUCACCUCCAAGUUUUGGGAGAGCCUGCAGAAGGAUAUGGGCACAUAGUUGCGGUUUAGUACCGCUUAUCAUCCUCAGACGGAUGGAUAGUCUGAGAGGACAAUUUAGAUACUUGAAGAUAUGUUGCGAGCCUGUGUACAUGAUUUUGGGGGAUCUUGGAGUAAGUAUCUCCGUUUGAUUGAGUUUUCAUAUAAUAGUAGUUAUCAAGCGACUAUCGGAGUGGAUACAUAUGAGAUGUUAUAUGGGAGGAAGUGCAAAUCACCCAUCCAUUGGUAUGAAACGGGUGAGGAGGUAUUUAGGUCCUGAGGUUGUUCAGAGGACCAAUGAGGUGAUUGAGAAGAUUAGAGCUCGAAUGCUCGCCUCCUAGAGUCGGCAGAAGAGUUACUCAGAGUUGAGACACAGGAGCGUAGAGUUUCAAGUCGGCGAUCAUGUAUUUCUCAGAGUUUCUCCCUUGAGAGGGGUGAAAUGAUUUGGAGUGAGCGGCAAGUUGGGCCCUAGGUUUGUUGGCCCCUAUGAAAUUCUGGAACAGGUUGGAGAGGUAACCUACAAAUUGGCAAUGCCUUCAGCUCUAUUAGGGGUUCACAAUGUAUUUCAUGUAUCCAUGCUCCAGAAGUAUGUAAAAGAUUCUACACAACGUGCUGAGAUAUGAGAACCUGGAGCUGGAUUAGGAUUUGUUUUAUGAUGACAAGCUUGUUCAGAUUCUAGACUGAAAGAACAAAGUCUUGCGGAACAAGACCAUUGCCUUAGUGAAAAUGUUUUAGAGGAACAACAAAGUAAUAGGGGUGACUUGGGAGCUUGAGACUGAUAUGCGGGAUUGAUAUCCCGAACUAUUCAGGUAAAUUUCGAGGACAAAAUUUCUGUAAGGAGGGGAUAGUUGUAGCGUCCCAAAUUUGCUAAUAAGGCUUAGGGAUUUGAUUAGUGUGCCAGGAGGAUAAUUUAUUUAAUUAUGUUAAUAUAUGAAUUAAAUGAUUAUGUGAUUAAAAUUGCAUGUUUAGGUGAAUUAAAUAUGCAUGUGGACCCAAUUUGGUUAUUAGGGGCAUAUUUGUAAUUUUAGCCAGUUGAAGGCAUAAAUGGGAUAUAUAUGUGUGUUGAGAUUGAUACCAAGAGGUUGUGGUAAUAUAUUUUUUAUGUACGAUUCGAGACGGUCCUAGGGAGUGAAAUAGCUAAAUAGUCACAACGGGAUCGAAUACCCGACUUGGGAGGAGCCUAAGGGUAUUUUGGGAAUAUAUUAUGUGUUCGUGAAUUACCGGGUAACAAGUGGUGAUUUAACAUUUUCUUAGGUGUAUCGGGGAUUAAAUGGGGAUUUAUAGGGAAACUCGAGGAUUUAGCGGGAAGUGCCAAUUGAUGGGAUUGCCCUCGAUGACACAAAAGGAUUAAGAUAGACUUAAGGGUAUUUUGGGCAUUUUUGGGACUUAGGUGGCUGAGGAUAGGCUUAACUGAUCAAAAAAAGAAUACACUUCUAAAAUUAAGAAAAGAUAGAAAAUAAGAACUCUCAACACUCUCUCUCACUCGACUCUCUCUCUCUCUCUCUCCCUCUCGUUGGUGCUUGGAAUUUAUUGAGUUUUGAGGACUUGAGGCUAAGAAAUUGAAGGAUUGAAGGAUUGAUGUGUUCGGGAAUCAACUUAGGGAUUGGAGAUAUCACAGAUGUAAGGAUUUUAAGUUGUUGAUUUUGUUGAAUUCUAUUAGAACUUUAAGCUUGCAUGGGAGUUGGAUUUUUGUAUGGUUUUGAGUGUUUGGUGAGGAUAUGCAAUUGUUUAUGAGUUAUUGAGAUGUUUAGGCUGUGUGAAUGAUGAUUCUAGGUUUAAUUCUAAGUUUGGCUGGUGUUUGGAGUAUGAAUUAUGGAUUCAGGCUUGGGGAAAACAUAGGAAAAAUGGCUGGUUUCUGGGGCUCGCGACGUGACCUUGUUCUACAAGCGUUGCGGCUCGUGUGUUCGAAAGGGCCUAGGGAGCCCUUGUUAUUGCCCAAGUGCCACGACACAGGGCAAGGCGUGUCGCGGCUUGUGUCCUUCAGCAAAGAGAGCUCUACUCUCUGACUUAUAGCGGGCCGUUACCCUAGGGGGCGGGCCGCAACUCAAAAUGGGGAAAUGAAGAUUUUAAGCUUGGGAACCGAAACGUUAUGGCUCGGGAAGGGUUCUAAUACCCGAUUUUGUAGAAUUCAAGGUCCUGGAGGCUAGAGUAAUAUUUCGAUGUUGUUCUUUGGUUUAGAGUUUGAUGGAUUGCCAAUAAGGAUGCGUUGUGACUAGGUUUUCGUCAAAGCUUUGAUUAGGGGAUCGUGCUCGGGAUCGCGGUAGUCAAUCAACUCGAGACACAGGUAAUAGGGCGUUACAACUUGGUAUCAGAGCGUGUAAGGUUUAUGGUUCCUGGAGAUCGACCGAACAUGUACGCUCGCUGCCAGUGACAAGCUUGACUCAGAACACUCCCUGAUGAAGAUCUCUCCGCCACAGUAGGAGGAGAGUAGGUUUGCCCACCUCCCACAGCCAUUUCGGAGGUGGCCGACAUUGAGGGAUACGACAAAGACGAUGGGGAUAGUGGCUACUCAUAGACUUCUCAGUUCGAACAACAACCAAGAGUGGUGGCUUUGAAGAACCAAAUCGCCUCCCAACAAAGAUAAAUGGAGGCACAAAAAGGAAAUAUCGUCACCUUGCAAGAGGUGGUGAUUGCCAUGAAAGCCACGUUGGAAGCUCAAGGGUUGCUAGCAGACCCCCAAGUCGAAGUUGUUGGGAAAUCUUAUACAUGAUCUUUAUUUAUUUUUAUGUAGAUCUAAUAUUAAACAAAUUAAUAUGAGAUAACCUAGAAAAUAUUUCUAAAACUGAAUUCAAAGAGAAACAACGAUAAAAAUACUUAUAGUAUACGCAGCGAAAUGAAUGAGUCAUUCCUUUAGUUUA